GAAGUCAGUGCAAUAACUUGUUCUUCUACUGUGGCAGGCCAGGGCACGCACUCACUUCCUGCCUCUCAUGGACCCCAGCCAGAAAAGUAUCGGGGAAAAAAACAAGCCCAAAUUUUCAUGGAAACCCAGCUGGGUCCACUAGGGUCCUUACCGCAUCUCCAAGUUCCAGUUCAGUUUUGCAUCUCCAGAGAAACAUGACAGGUAGCACUGCAUUAGGCACUUAUUGAUUCUGGGUCUGCAGACAAUAUCAUAAAUUUUGAGACAACCCAAGGUCUGCAUAUCUUGUCCGGCAGAAGUCACAUCAGAUGUUGUGGAAAUCAUUGACAAGAUCCUCUUGUCCUCAGGACUGGUGACUCAGAUGAUGGUGCCCCUGAAAGCGGUAACCCAGGCUCUGGGAUCUGUCUGUGCCUCCUACAUCAAUGGAGCCUGCAGCUGGCCCAGAUUGGGGAGCCAUGACCUCAUCCUGUCAAGCGAGAACAACUGCUUCUCAGUGAUGCUUAGAUGGCAAAUCGCACCCCCCUCAUGGAGGAAAAGCAUCUCCAAAGGAGGUGUAAUGAUCCUGAACUCUAUUGCCUGCACGAAGCUUCAGACUGGAGCUCCAGCAGAUUCCCCUGAAGAACAGCACCCUGUCUUUCUGUGGUCAGGCUAGGGCUCUCCCUCUGUCAUGGAGGUGAAGACCGGAUGGGAGCUGAUGGAUUGACUUUGAUAUGUCAUGUCCUUGUGUGGAUGAGGGACCUACAUCACAGAGAUGGCCAGUAGCAGAUGUACCACACGUGGCCAGGAAUGGGCUACACAACUUAUAA